rnacentral:tRNA from 1 species
GGCGCGGUGAGGCCAUAUUUGGCACUAGGCCACCAUCCUAAGCUCCUGAUUUUGUUGAUUUCCCUUUGGCCCUGAAAAGGCUGGUGUCGACAGUUCGAUUCUGUCCCUCGGCACCA